rnacentral:rRNA from 1 species
UACGUAGGGGGCAAGCGUUGUCCGGAUUUAUUGGGCGUAAAGAGCGUGUAGGCGGCCAUACAGGUCCGUUGUGAAAACUGGAGGCUUAACCUCCAGACGUCGAUGGAAACCGUAUGGCUAGAGUCCGGAAGAGGAGAGUGGAAUUCCUGGUGUAGCGGUGAAAUGCGCAGAUAUCAGGAGGAACACCGGUGGCGAAGGCGGUUCUCUGGGCAUUACCUGACGCUGAGGAGCGAAAGUGUGGGGAGCGAACAGG